AGUAACAUGUCUAGUCACAACUAUCAAAAUAUAUAGGUGUAUACACAAACUAGCAGAUUAAAUACUGAGGUUACAGAGUCACCAUGUUAAAUUAUAUGAUUAUACAUAUUAUUACAUUACUUAAUGUUAUAUCAGAAAUUGAAAGUAUCACAUGCAGGCGUUAUUCAUCUUCUUUCGACUAUAAAUAUUUCUAUUGUUCAUAUCGAUGUUGUGAUUAUAUUUCUACCAAAUAUUGCUGUGAAAAAAAUAAUUCCGAUAAUAAUGGGAGUUCCUUUACAACUAAUAUUGGGUUGGUGACGAUCACUGUUAUAGCAGUGGUAUUUAUUUGUUUUUGUUCAUGUUUUUUCACCAGUAAAAAAAGAGAAGCUCGACGUCGGAUGCUUACAUACCCACUCAACCCUACUAUUAUAGAGUCAGUCCAUGGUAGAACUCCACAAAAUCUGUCCCUUAAUAUUGAAGAACGGAGUCCUGGCGAGGCACCUCCGCCAUAUACUAUUAGCAACUCAUAUUUUCUUCCAACACAGCUGCCACCACCUUACACUUCACCAACACCAUCAGAACCACCACCCCCAUAUGAUCCCAAAUGGGCAAGAGUAAAGGCAGAUAAAUCUGAUGAAAGUAUCGAAGAAAAUGCAAAUAGCACUCCACAACGACCUCAAACACCGUGAAUAUCCUUUUCCCAACCAUCGCCAUCAAGCCUGCGAUAUAUUUAUUGUUGAAAACUUUAUGUGUUUUAAUUGUUUAAUAUGUGCGUGUCUGUGAAUAUAAAACAGAAUCAUGUAAAAAGAUGACCAGAAUCAAGUGUUGUGCUUCGACUUUGGUUAAGCAAUAAUUACUGACUGUGUUCUGCAAGUCACCAAUGGCACUUUUGAUUAUGUUUAUUUUCUUUUAUUUGCUAUGUCAUUAUAUAUUAAGUGUAUUAAAAUUGGUGUAAGGUGAGAGUUUAAAAAAAAACAGAAUUAAAUGUUGUCCUUCACAUAUUGUACAGAUACCUGUUAUUUUUGCUCAGUUGGUUUAAUAUACAGUAUUAACAAUGUUCGGGCAUUUUCUAACUCAGCAAUAUUAUUUGCUGUUCUGACAAUGGAAGAACUUUGUGAAUUGUUUCUUGGACUAGGAUUAGAUUUAAUUAAGAUUUCUACAUGUUCAAAUGUUUGAAAAUCCCAGUGUCCCCAUGGCUUCUAGCAUAGGAAAUGAUAUGAAAUGUGGUUUAACGUCCUACUUUUAGAACCGACUGGGCUAAUUAAGACGGGCAUGCGACAUUCCAACUGCCAACGGAUCUCUUACGGGUACGCCAAUACAUGGGACCUUGGGUGCUCGGCUAUACGUUGUCCCUUGCCAGGCCCCCUGUCCUUCACCAAUAACUAGGGGGACUCACGCCGGAAAAUCCCGAUGAACUUUCUCGGCCAAUACAGGGAUCGAAAAUGCGACGUCCGUGUUAGAGAGUCAACGUCCCACCCACUGAGCCACCGUGGCUCCUAUAUGAAAUGAGAUAAAAUGGAGUUUAAUGUCUUACUUUUUUGCACCAACUGGGAUAAUCUCAUGUAAGACAAAUGAGAAUUGGUGGUUAAUGGAAUCGUCCCAGAUAAAAUAUCAUAAAUGUGAAGAAACAGUUUAAUUUAGUUUCAAAUUAAAAUAUUAUAGUGUUUCGAAAAUAUGGUCUAGACAUUUUUAAACAUACAUUAUGCAAGAGCAGGUCUGUCUUUAGGCCUGAAAUGUUAUCUAAUUUAUUAAUUAGACAUUAAUUAAACUAUCCAGAACAUACUCAACUAUCGAUGGCAUCGCUAGCCUGCGAUCUUUAGUGGGUUAUGAGCCGAUUUACUGCAUAACUUUCCUUCACGAUUUAAUGAUUAAAUGGAUGAUCGCGACUAUGCUGUUUAUCGUACUGACUUUAGUAAUGAUGAUUGAGGCUAGGCGGAAUUUUCAAUCGCUUAAUUCCCGGUUCAUAGUGGAUCAAUUUGAAUGAAAUUUUCAGCAAAUUGCCUUUACAUUAUCUAGUUUUUAACUAUUAUAGUGAGAACUGCCAACUCGUUAUCUAAUCUCCCAUAAUGUAUCUUUAAUAAGGAAAUAGAUUGGUUUUAUUCGCUAAAAUAUACCAAAGACUGAUCCUUUAAAUACCAAGAAGUGUUCUGUAAGGAGUAAUGAUACACCUCCUUGUAGGCAUAUAUAGCUAAUAUAACAAUGACUAAUUGUUACGACGACUGAAUAAGUAUAAGUCAUAACGGUUAUAACCCCCAAUAUCAUUUUUAAUUGUGAUCGGUAUUUACAAUAGUGACGUACUAUUUACAAUUAACAGUAGAACCAUUCAUUCCGUGCACUCGUUUAAUCUUAAACACCCAUUACCGUAAAUUUCAUAUCUUUAGUUUAAGUCCGCAUAUUCAAUUAACUCAAAAAUAAAGCUAAUGGCUCUGCCUUGUUGUGUUGUUGAGGAGUUUAAAGGGACAACUAACCAAUGUCUUUUCACCUGUAUACUUUUGAUUAUUACAAUCUAGUACACCAAUGAAUGAAUAAAACAUUAUAAAUAUAA